GUUACGUGAGGUGCACAUUAUUCAAAACAUUGAAUCACAUCGAACUGUGGAAUGUUGUGAAUAGUGUCACAGACGUAAU
rnacentral:pre_miRNA from 1 species